UAARUCAGUGUUGAAGCCUGCAGCUUAACUGUAGAAUUGCCAUUGAUACUGGAUUACUUGAAUCUAAUAGAAGUAGGCGGAAUAUGACAUGUAGCGGUGAAAUGCUUAGAUAUGUCAUAGAACACCGAUAGCGAAGGCAGCUUACUAUGUUAGUAUUGACGCUAAUGCACGAAAGCGUGGGGAGCGAACAGGAUUAGAUACCCUGGUAGUCCACGCCGUAAACGAUGAUUACUCGCUAUUGGCGAUACACUGUCAGUGGCUAAGCGAAAGUGAUAAGUAAUCCAACCUGGGGAGUACGAUCGCAAGGUUGAAACUCAAAAGGAAUUUGACGGGGGGCCCGCACAAGCUGGUGGGAGCAUGUGGUUUAAUUCGAUGAUACGCGAGGAACCUUACCAGGUCUUAAAUGCAUAACGAACGAUUGGGAAACCAAUCUUUCUUCGGACGGAAUGCAAGGUGCUGCAUGGUUGUCGUCAGCUCGUGCCGUGAGGUGUCAGGUUAAGUCCUAUAACGAGCGCAACCCCUAUUCUUAGUUGCCAGCGGUUCGGCCGGGGACUCUAAGAAAACUGCCAGUGCAAGCUGUGAGGAAGGUGGGGAUGACGUCAAAUCAUCACGGCCCUUACGACCUGGGCCACACACGUGCUACAAUGGUAGGUACAAAGGGCAGCCACUUGGCGACAAGGAGCUAAUCUCUAAAACCUAUCUCAGUUCGGAUUGGAGUCUGAAACUCGACUCUAUGAAGCUGGAAUCGCUAGUAAUCGCGCAUCAGCCAUGGCGCGGUGAAUACGUUCCCGGGCCUUGUACACACCGCCCGUCAAGCCAUGGAAGCUGGGAGUACCUGAAGUCGGUAACCAUAUAGGAGCUGCCUAGGGUAAAACUAGUAACUGGGGCUAGUCGUAACAAGGUACCCGU
rnacentral:rRNA from 1 species